AUAUGCGAUACUUGGUGUGAAUUGCAGAAUCCCGUGAACCAUCGAGUUUUUGAACGCAAGUUGCGCCCGAAGCCCUCGGGCCAGGGCACGUCUGCCUGGGCGUCACGCAUAGCGUCUCCCCAUUUCCCCAGCCAAGGGAAUGAGGAGGAAGAUGGCCUCCCGUGCCUCACUGGGCGUGGAUGGCUUAAAUAAGGAGCCCUCGGCAACUUGAUUCCGCGGCGAUUGGUGGCACAAUGGGCAUCUGCCCGCGAAGCAUCGCGCCGCGCAACAAGCUGCAUUACUGGGCAUCGUCGGACCCUAAACAACCUUUGCGACCCCAGGUCAGGCGGGAUUACCCGCUGAUUUUAAGCAUAUCAAUAGGCGAAAGAAUC
rnacentral:rRNA from 1 species